rnacentral:lncRNA from 1 species
CUUAAACGAGACACUUAUUGUUUCAAUCGUGAUGUUUUGGGGAGCAAAGUGAAAUCUACACUUUAAACAAUGAUAGUAAUAGCUUUGCUAGUGCUAGUGCUAGUGCUAGUGCUAGUGCUAGACAUGAGAAAGUUGAAUAUACACUAUCAAGCUGGUGUGUUCGGUUUCCAUUUUUCUCAGAUGAACUAGCAUACAAGAUGAUGUGCGGAGAUGCUCGCCCUCCAUGGACCCAAUCUUCAAUGUACAAUUCCUCACGUGAAUGUAAUGGAAUGUAGAGUUGCUUUGGUUCGGAAACGUCGACGGUCAAAAGCUAGAAAUGUCCGGUGAAGUUUUCCUUCCGUGGGAGG